rnacentral:rRNA from 1 species
AGAGUGCGUAAUAGCUCACUGGUUAAGUGGUGAUGCGCCGAUAAUGUAGUGGGGCUUUUAAAGUACACCGCCGAAACCGCGGCAACACACAUUGUGUGUGUUGGGUAGGGGAGCGUCGUGCAUGCGUGGAAGCUGUCACGGAAGUGGUGGUGGAGUGUGUGCGAGUGAGAAUGCAGGCAUGAGUAGCGAAAAACAUGUGGAAAACGUGUUCGCCGGAUGACUAAGGGUUCCUGGGUGAAGCUAAUCUUCCCAGGGUGAGUCGGGACCUAAGGCGAGGCCGACAGGCGUAGUCGAUGGAUAACGGGUUGAUAGUCCCGUACCCGUGUAUGCGCGACAAGUGGUGACUCGGUUGUACUAACCACCCACCACCGCGGGAUCAAUGCUUUUGGUGUUGGUUUGGUGUGUGGUGCGUGGGAUCUUGAUCGUUGGUAGCCAAGCGAUGGGGUGACACAGAUUGGUAGUCAAGGCCACUUAUUGGAUUGUGGUGUAAGCGUGUGGCCCGUAGGAUAGGUAAAUCCGUUCUGCAUAUAGGGUGAGGCGUGAUGCGUACCCAGGUUUGGGGAUGUUUGAUGUGCCUGUGCUGUCGAGAAAAGCCUCUAGCGAUGUGUGUGCACGGCCCGUACCGGAAACCGACACAGGUGGUCUGGUUGAGGAUACUAAGGCGUUCGGGUGAACUAUGGUUAAGGAACUCGGCAAAAUGCCCCCGUAACUUCGGGAGAAGGGGGGCCAUGUGCGGCAAUCACCCUUGUGCGGUGUGCGUUGUGUGUGGCCGCAGAGAAGUGAGGGAAGCGACUGUUUAUUAAAAACACAGGUCCGUGCGAAGACGUUGCAAGUCGAGGUAUACGGACUGACGCCUGCCCGGUGCUGGAAGGUUAAGAGGACUCGUGAGCACACCCUCGUGGUGUGUGAGGCGGGUAAUUGAAGCCCCAGUAAACGGCGGUGGUAACUAUAACCAUCCUAAGGUAGCGAAAUUCCUUGUCGGGUAAGUUCCGACCUGCACGAAUGGCGUAACGACUUCCCUGCUGUCUCAACCAUAGGCCCGGUGAAAUUGCAGUACGAGUAAAGAUGCUCGUUUCGCGCGGCAGGACGAAAAGACCCCGGGACCUUUACUAUAGCUUGGUAUUGGUGUGUGCUGCAGCUUGUGUAGGAUAGGUGGGAGACGUGGAAGCGCUCACGCUAGUGGGUGUGGAGUCAUUGGUGAAAUACCACUCUGGUUGUUGUGUGCAUCUAACUGUGGGCCCUGAUCGGGUUUUGGGACAGUGCCUGGUGGGUAGUUUAACUGGGGCGGUUGCCUCCUAAAUGGUAACGGAGGCGCCCAAAGGUUCCCUCGGCUUGGUUGGUAAUCAGGUUUGUAGAGUGUAAGUGCAGUAAGGGAGCUUGACUGUGACACUGACGGGUGGAGCAGGUGCGAAAGCAGGGACUAGUGAUCCGGCAUCAACGUGUGGGUGUGGUGUCGCUCAACGGAUAAAAGGUACCCCGGGGAUAACAGGCUGAUCUUCCCCAAGAGUUCAUAUCGACGGGAUGGUUUGGCACCUCGAUGUCGGCUCGUCGCAUCCUGGGGCUGGAGUAGGUCCCAAGGGUUGGGCUGUUCGCCCAUUAAAGCGGCACGCGAGCUGGGUUUAGAACGUCGUGAGACAGUUCGGUCUCUAUCCGCCGCGCGCGUGGAAACUUGAACAAGGCUGUCCCUAGUACGAGAGGACCGGGAUGGACGUACCUCUAGUGUGCCAGUUGUCACGCCGGUGGCAUGGCUGGUUGGCUAUGUGCGGGAGGGAUAACCGCUGAAAGCAUCUAAGCGGGAAGCCUGUUGUGAGAUGAGGUUUCU